UUGAUGAAUAGAACUGCGCAGUAUAUAUGUGUGAUUAAUUAGUCAUUUAGUAUGGAUUGAUGGAUCUACAUGAUCCAUUUGUGUUUGUCAUCUGAGGAUUAAUUAGUCCCCUACUAUGCCGAGCACGAGCACAGUGUCACUGCAAAGCAUUAUAUUUGCGUCACCUCAGAUCUAAUGGAAAGGCAAGGAUGGAUCAUGGCUGAAGGGACCAAAGGAUAUCAUACAAGGUGAAGAGCCAAACUCUGCGGAUGAUGUUGUGAAGUUCUUUUUUGGUACAGUUUAUCAAAUUGCUGAGCAUAGGCAUCCUUUUAGCUGGUUCAUGCCCAGAAUUUACUAAGUUUUGUGUCAGUUAGAUGGUGAACAUAUGUGACAAAGUGACAUGUUAUGAAAUGGUUGUAAUGGCACAUGAUGUAUAAAUAUGAUGUAAUUUUGAAUGCUUCGAUUGAGCAAUUCUACAGGGAUUGUCUAAUA